AGUCGCCACCCCACCCGUGACCGACACUCCAGUGACUCCACCCUUCGUCCCUUUCCCCUUUUUCCUUUCCCCUUUCCCCUUUCCCCAGCAGAUUAAGAAAUCACUUUCCCUAGAUCCGGAGCGUUCUUGGCGAGAUGAAGAUAAGAAUUUAUUUCCAAUCCCAAGCUUUCUUGGCGACUCUAUCCUCUUGUUGCUGAAGUUCAUCUUGUUGUUGGGCAAAAGCAGAGUGAAGCAAAGGAGGGUUUGAAUUGGGAUUGUGCAAGUUGAGUAAGGAAGCCAGUACUACAACGCUGAACCAAAGGCUAUGGUUCUUCGUCUUCCAAGAACUAGGCUCUUAUUAUAUGAAGAAGAAACGAUCAUCAUUUGGAGUGGAGAGAUAGCUGAGGGAGCAUGAAUUGAACCCAACACCACCACGGUCUUGAACUCCAUCAACUCAGAGCUCGAGACCGACUCAGACACGCCUGUCUCUUACAAGGCUUUGAUGGUGGUGUUGUCAACUUCUUUGUCCAAGGUUCCUCCGAUCCUUACCUCGUCGAAUUGAUACUGGAAGUGAUAUCUUGUGGGUCUGCUACAAUUCCUGCAACAACUGCCCGCGUACCAGUGGCCUUGGAAUUCAGCUCAAUUUCUUUGAUUCCAGCAACUCAUCAACUGUUGGGCGAGUCCGCUGUUCAGAUCCAAUCUGCACUUCAGCGGUUCAAACCACAGCAACCCAAUGCUCUUCUCAGACUGAUCAGUGCAGUUAUUUUAGCUGUUGCUUGCAUUGUGAUGUUGUUGGCAGCCCCAACAUUUAUUUAAUUUCUUAUCCUUGCACAAUUAGCAUUCUGAUAAAUUUAUGUUUAAGUGUAUUGAACUGCAGGAUAUAACAUGCAUAUUUAACAUGCAUGCUCUCCAUUUAUUGAAUUGUGAUUUUAUGAUUUUUAAUUAAAAAAUUUUAUUUAUAAUUUUA